rnacentral:lncRNA from 1 species
CAACAUUUCAUUUUUGGUAGCAUGUUCACAUGCUUCGGGCGACAUCUUUUUGAAAUCCAAAACCUGACACACUUCCUCUCGUUCCAUCUCCGUCAAGUGCCUGUGCUUAUCUAAGUAGAUAUGAACCGCCCUGUAUAUUCCAUCUGAGGUUCUUUGUAUACCCAACGAUGCUGCAAUCGACAUCUCUGCUAAUUCAACAAAUGUACCUAUCUUCAGAUCUAUGUCACUGGCAAUUUCAGCCAAGAAUUCUUCAAUGAGUUCAGCUACUGCAACUAGCCCGGAUACGUCUGAAGAAGUAAAACUUCCAUAGAACACUUUCAGUAUCCGCCUCAAACACCCAAUCUCGUAUUGCAUUUCCUUGGAAUAGCCUUGAGAUGGUAUCAAGAGGUCUUUGACUGUUGCCCGUUCCAGUUGUUUUCCGAUUCUGAUCUCAAUCCCAUUUCUACAGUCAGAACUCACUUCCAAAAGAAUAGCGAAACGGAGGAUUUCAAACAAUAAUGUGCAUGGAAGUAGUCCAAUGUCAUGAGGCAACAAUCUCUCCACUGCUUCAAGGAUUUCCCUUUGAUAGUUCAUCUUAUCUUCCUCUCCGCUGCUAGAGAAAACCCAUUUCUUUGUAUAGUUACAAAGGGAUGCAGCCACAUACCGCGAUGGAACGUCAUGCUUAUUCAUUCCAAGGAUGACAGGCUCAUAGAUCGGAAGGGACAGUGUUGUCAAGUCUUCCGAUUGCCAAUCAAGAACAAAGAGCCUUCUCCUUGCGCUCGGCCUAUAGCCUUCUUCGUCAUCAUCCUCACUAUCGUCAUCAUACUUCAUCAAAUUGUUGAUUGGCUCUCCGAGAAGGCUGGGAUUAGCUAGUGCCUUUUGAAUGAUAGAAUCUAUACAGGCAUCGAUUAAACCGAGCUUCACAGACUGUUGGAGGAACUUUUCUGUGGCUCGGAAAGCCUUCACAGUUUCAUUCCAGCUCGGGAGGAUUCUUUCUUGAAAAUAAGAAAGCGCCUUACUUAACAAAUUAUUUUUGCUGUGGUUUUCAGUCAUCUCCAAGUAGUGAGCUACACAAAUGAGAGGUACAAUAUUCUCAGAGGACAUCUGAAUUUCAAAGCCGUGGUAGAAUCUGGCAACAAGCUCCAGAGUGUCUGUGUCAGCAGGGAUAUUUCUAAGGAAGCGAGAAAGAUCAUCCUGCGAUUUCUGUAUGAGUAAGGCAGCAACUUUGGCUGAUUUUUCAGCCAGAAGAACCUGCGAACAACGAUUAUUAUUACCAAAGAAAAAUUAUAGCACAUCUGGCCUUCAUUCUCUCGUAGAAAAGGAGUUCAUAAUUAUGUCGCGGUAAACAAAAACCGCGGUAGAAUUACGGUUUGUAGAACACUUACUUUGUCAAUGAACGGCGCACCAAGUACGUUGGGUUGCAAAUCUGGUGCCAAUGUAGGCUUAGACAACCUAAAAGAAGUAAACGGCAAGGGGAACAAAUUGAGUGAAAAAUACAUAUAAAUUUAAAAAAAAAAAAAAAUUAUAUAAAUUCAGCCUUUAUUUUACCAGGAUGAUAAAUCUUUGCAUUGUCCCUUUGCCAUCUUUUGGUGAUUCCUUUGACUGCAGCGUUUACAGUGAAAGAGUUUAAACUAGGGUUUUAGAGACUGAUUGCAUAAGCUCAACUCAGUUAAUGAUGAGUGAGGUUUUGACUUCAUUAUAUAGAGAUUACAAGAUAAGUUGGUUACAAUAUGAACAUAUAUCAACAUAUAUCAGAUUACAAACGGAUAGAUUCUACGAAGAGAUAGGAGAGUCUAUCUGAUGAAGAGUCCUUGAGUUAUCCAAACUGUGAGGUUGACUUGAUGAGGGAGACUUAGAUGAUUCGAACUCCAGAGAUGUGGAUGGCUGACUUGGAGUGGUUUGUUGACCUGGAGUACAUGUGGUUUGUUGACGUGGAGUACAUGGUUUAUCAUACAGUAGGGAAGUUUCCGACGACGUUCGACUCUGGCUUUGCAAUGACCUCUUGACCAAUAAUGUAUUUUCUUUUGUACCAGCCAUACAGAAUAAAGUAUAACAUGAACAGAUAGGGUUGUUUCAAAUGACAAUGUAUAUAUGCAUAUUGUAAUUUCAAAUACUACUGUAUGUUCUGUAAUUGAAGGUUAGCACGACACAUGUGCAAGAAUGACACACAUAAACCGAGAAAAGAAAGAAAUUGAAAGGGUUUUUGGCCUGGUGAGAAUAGUUCAGCACAAACACAUGAACUGAUAGCUUUUUCAAAAAAUUAAUAAAUUAACAGUAAGGGGCUCGCUUAGUGAGGACAAUAUGAAUUGCAACUCAAUUUUACUCAUUCUCUCACUUUUUGCUCACUGUUCAUAUGACUCAAUGGUACAUAUGCAAAAAAAUUCACAUUCAAUAAGAACACAAAAGGAGGAAAUAUUUAAGAAAUUCAAACAACUAACGCAUGCAAAAUCCACUUUAAUUACUCAGAAUUAUGCAUUUACUACUACUGAGGACGCAAGUAAAAACGUGAUUACGAUAAAGUAAAAGAAAAAAUCUAUAUCAAAAUCUGGGACAGUAAACAUUUAACAUAUUCUAUAGGUUAAAGAAGGAGAAGAGAGAGGGAGACUUAGUGGGAAAAAGUGAGGUGUUAGAGAGUGAGUUACAAAUUGAGUUGAAGCUUCUUGUGGUAAAUAUGGACGUGUGAACUCACAUACACAGUUCAGUCAAUGGCUUGUUGAAAUAUGGACGUUAGAAAUCUGAUUUUUCUCCUAAACGUGUGCGUUCUGUUAAUAUUUUGAGUAUCAGAUUUUCUUUUGUUUGAAAAAUUAAAUUAAUAAAACAAAAUUUGCGGGGUUACAUUUGCUUAACAAGUUACAUGUCGUUCGCUGACAUGACCCAAAUAUGAAGUGGAUCGGAUAUCUUAUGCUUGGUUUUUUCUCCCCUAUAAUUUGAUUCCUUUAUUCUAAACAUGCCACGUCAAUUAUAAUCGUCCAAAGACAAAAAAAAUUGGUUACACAUUGACACAUAUUUUACAUUCUACAUGUCACACUCAUUGUUUUGGAUGCACCUUCUUAUUCUAUACAUUCUACAUGUCACACUCCAUAUUUUACAUUCUACAUGUCACACUCCAUGUUUCCGACGACGUUCGACUCUAGCUUUGCAAUGACCUCUUCACCAAUAAUGUAUUUCCUUUCUUACCAGCCAUACAGAAUAAAGUAUAACAUGAACAGAUAGGGUUGUUUCAAAUGACAAUGUAUAUAUGCAUAUUGUAAUUUCAAAUACUACUGUAUGUUUUGUAAUUGACGGUUAGCACGACACACGUGCAAGAAUGACACACAUAAACCGAGAAAAGAAAGAAAUUGAAAGGGUUUUUGGCCUGGUGAAAAUAGUUCAGCACAAACACAUGAACUGUUGAUGAUAGAUUUUUCAAAAAAUUAAUAAAUUAACAAUAAGGGGAUCACUUAGUGAGGACAAUAUGAAUUGCAACUCAAUUUGUUACUCAUUCUCUCACUUUUUGCUCACUGUUCAUAUGACUCAAUGAUAUAUAUGCAAAAAAUUUCACUUUCAAUAAAAACACAAAAGGAGGUAAAAUUUAAGAAAUUCAAACAACUAAGGCAUGCAAAAUCCACAUUAAUUACUCAGAAUUAUGCAUUUACUAAUACUGAGGACGCAAGUAAAAACGUGAUCCAGAUUAAGUAAAAGAAAAAAUCUAUAUCAAAAUCUGUGACAGUAAACAUUUAACAUAUUCUAUAGGUUAAAGAAGGAGAAGAGAGUGGGAGACUUACUGGGAAAAAGUGAGGUGUGUGAGAGUGAGUUACAAAUUGAGUUGAAGCUUCUUGUGGUAAAUAUCGACGUGUGAACUCACAUACACAGUUCAGUCAACGGCUUGUUGAAAUAUGGACGUUAGUAAUCUGAUUUUUCUCCUAAACAUGUGGGUUCUGUUAAUAUUUGAGUAUCAGAUUUUGUUUUGUUUGAAAAAUUAAAUUAAUAAAACAAAAUUUGCAGGGUUACAUUUGCUUAACAAGUUACAUGUCAUUCGCUGACAUGACCCAAAUAUUAAGUGGAUCAGAUAUCCUAUGUUUGGUUUUUUCUCCCCUAUAAUUUGAUUCCUUUAUUCUAAACAUGCCACGUCAAUUAUAAUCGUCCAAAGACAAAAAAAAUUGGUUACACAUUGACCAUAUUUUACAUUCUACAUGUCACACUCCAUGUUUUGGAUGCACCUUCUUCUUCUUCUUCUUCUUCAAUUGGCAGUUAGAAUCGCCCACACUGUUGAUGCACCCGAACUUCCUCUUCAUUUCUCUCCACAAGCUAGUUUUCUCCUUCACCUUGGGGUUGCAGCCAUUCUCAAUCGCUUUCCUCAUCUUAUAGCACUUUCUUUCAAGCUCCAUUACCUUUAUGCUCAUUUUCUCCAUCUCGGAUCUCAUUUCUCUCUCACCAACAUCCAACUUUGCAUCUUCUCCUCCGCAGCCUCCUUUGUUGUUCUUUCGUCUGAACCCUGCACCCCGUUGAUGAUCGUAUCAAGCAGCUGCAACUGCCCUGCAAAUAACACCUGCACCACCACUCUCAGAAGCAACAUUUCAUUUUUGGUAGCUUGUUCACAUGCUUCGGGCGACAUCUUUUUGAAAUCCAAAACUGACACACUUCCUGUCGUUCCAUCUCCGUCAAGUGCCUGUGCUUAUCCAAGUAGAUAUGAACCGCCCUGUAUAUUCCAUCUGAGGUUCUUUGUAUACCCAACGAUGCUGCAAUCGACAUCUCUGCUAAUUCAACAAAUGUACCUAUCUUCAGAUCUAUGUCACUGGCAAUUUCAGCCAAGAAUUCUUCAAUGAGUUCAGCUACUGCAACUAGCCCGGAU